UCAGAGCAGUCCUUGCACCAGCUCAGGAUUGAUAUGUUAGGAAAGAGCUUUGGCCAAAUGUGGAUUUCAUGUUUGCUUCUGCACGGACUCAUCUGAAAGAAAUACUGGGCGACCCAAAGAACCAAACCAGGGAAUGUCUUCUGACCUCUAUCCCAGCAAUGCCGGUGCUUGCUGUCCGUGGGCCACAUCUGGAGCAGCGAACAUUUAGGAUCAGCUUUAAGCUACAUUCUCUUUCAUGCCCCAAACCAAGGAAACAUCAAGUUGGAAAAAGA
rnacentral:lncRNA from 1 species